GAUCCAGUCCCGUGCGGCGGAGGCCCCUGAACCCUGUCAGGCCCGGAAGGGAGCAGCAGUAAGGGGAGUCCUCCG
rnacentral:SRP_RNA from 1 species